CGAUGCUACAUACCUUGCUACCAAUAUUCAUUAAUUUAAGAAACAAUUUCCAACUUAAAACACCUGAAUUUGCGGUCUUUAAUUGCCUAGUUAGUGAGAAUAUAUCAACAGACACGAAAACGUUAUUCGCUGUUGCAUAGUGAUGCUCGUCUCCAACCCUUCAAUGUGAAAAAACGCUUCCUCACCCCGCGUCUAGCUUUUGGUCAAACCGUUACACCAUGUUCUACUCAUCAUGAUUCUUGUUAUUUGUCUGAUACAAAUUUUUCAUUGUAUUCAUUUUGGCUCGCACGUUUGACAGUUAUUUUGGCUCGCUGCGAUUCAGUCCGCAGGUCUAUAUAUAGUGUCUAUAGAAUGGCACCGUGUCAUCAAAAGUGACGCUGGUAACACUGAACAUCCUUUCUCUUUUCCCCACACGAGUGUAAUAUAGGCUGUUAGGUUGACGCUAGCAUAUAGUUUUCAUGCCAAUUUUGACAGUGUCGCCACUCUAUAUGUAUUUACAGGCACUCUAGUAAAGUUGAUUUUACCGAUUUUACCUCAUCCGCUAUGCAACAAAUUGUAACGCACCUUUCUCCAAGCAGCGUUACAAAGUUUAUGGAUGGCCCGUAAUCUCACUUUUCAGGGAAAUCGUCGCACACAGCGAUGUUUACAUUCUCGAUAAUCGAUUUAGAAUCGUGAUCGUCCAAUACUCUUUGACAUUCGUUUCGGGAUUUCGAAAAUUUGGUGUGGAAAAGAUGGACCACCUGAGCCUGCAAUCGUCCAAAACCUUAGUUGAACUGGAAAACGAAUUGGUCAAUGGCAUUUCCGAUUUUGAAUUAAGCAUUCGGGAUGCUGUCACUGGCGAAAGCUCUACCUUUGAAGCGUUGAACGAGUGCAACGAAACAACAGUUGGUGCUGAGUUGGACGCUCAUUUAGAUUUCCUCAGACAUAAUAUGUCUCAAGAAUCUGGGAGUGUGGAGGAUUGCAUUGAAUUUGACCCAGUUACUGAGAAGCUAAAAGAGAAACGCAAAACAGUGAAAUGGAACCUGGAGCAGAUAUCAAAAGAAUUUCAUGAGAACUUCGACGAAUCGUUAAUGUGUCGAUGGAAUGAUAUAAAUCAUAUUCGAGAUGAGAUCGGUGAAUUGAGACGCCAGAGCAUGGAGUUAUUAGCUGAAAAAACAGAAGCCCUUCGCGCGAUUGGACAAGCUAGGAGAAGUAUUCUGGUUAAGCAAUCGAGCUUGGAAAUGAUUCGUGAAGGAUUUAGAACUAAAUUAGCUGAAACGAAUGCAACUAACGCAGAUAUUAGAUCCCAAAAAGCGCAAUUAGAGGAUGAAAUAGACGCACUGAAUGAGCAACAGAACAAAAGAAGAAAAGAAAAAGCUAGUGGCCGCAAGAAAAAUCAAUUUUUGCUGAAAAAGUUGACCAAAUAGUCUGCCAGUGAAAAACUCAUUUCCAAUCGCCAAUAUCAUUACAAUAAUCGUAUUGAUUUGUAUAUACAGUAACUGUAUCACAUUGGUUGAAACAAAAAUACAUUACAUUUGUAUGACGUUCUUCCCUUAACAAAACUAAUUUUGGAUGUUAUUUUUCCCAAAAACUCGAUUGAUUGAUAUACCGUUAGCUUGUUUUUGACAGCGAGUGACUCGUGAGAAACGACACAUACACACUGAAACAAAGCAAUUAUAACAAUACAAAAUACAAUACUUCUUUUGAUUGCCGCCGAAUGGGGAUCGAAGACUAUUCGAAGGUUUGGCAGAUCGCAAACGCAAUAUAAACAGUGAACGAGUUACCAAAGAAACCGCAGUCAUCAAACGCUGUCGCUAGAAUAAACAAAGCCUAACAAAAAUCCUGCAAUUGUGUGCGAUUUUUAGUCAUCGUCAAAAAGCUUGACUGCUUGGAUUGGUUGUACGUUAAUUGUGAAACAAAAACUUUAUUCAGUUUUCAUCGUUUGCAAAUGAGCUUGCCAGUGGUCUCGAAACUGGAACAAACCCUUGAAAGUAUGGAAGUGGAUACGGCUAUGGUGGGUCCGGGCGAGUGUGAUGUACAAGACUGGUCUUUGGUGCCUAAAGUCGACGAAUCUAACACAGCUUGGCUCAGUAAACCACCAAUGGAAAG